CAGCCGCCGCGGUAAAACGGAGGGUGCAAGCGUUAAUCGGAAUUACUGGGCGUAGAGCGCACGCAGGCGGUCUGUCAAGUCAGAUGUGAAAUCCCCGGGCUUAACCUGGGAACUGCAUUUGAAACUGGCAGGCUAGAGUCUUGUAGAGGGGGGUAGAAUUCCAGGUGUAGCGGUGAAAUGCGUAGAGAUCUGGAGGAAUACCGGUGGCGAAGGCGGCCCCCUGGACAAAGACUGACGCUCAGGUGCGAAAGCGUGGGGAGCAAACAGGAUUAGAUACCCCGGUAGUCCCUGUCUCUUAUAC
rnacentral:rRNA from 1 species